GCUGGGUGUGGUGGCCCGCGCCUGCAGUCCCAGCUACUGGGAGGCUGAGGCGGGAGCAUUGCUUGAGCCCAGGAUGUCGAGGCUGCAGUAAGCUGAGAUGGUGCUACUGCACUUCAGCCUGGGGGACAAAGUGAGACCCUGUCUCAA
rnacentral:SRP_RNA from 2 species